UAAAGAAUUUCGGUUAUCGAUGGGGAUGCGUUCCAUUAGUUAGUUGGCGGGGUAACGGCCCACCAAGACGACGAUGGAUAGGGGUUCUGAGAGGAAGGUCCCCCACAUUGGAACUGAGACACGGUCCAAACUCCUACGGGAGGCAGCAGUGAGGAAUAUUGGUCAAUGGACGAGAGUCUGAACCAGCCAAGUAGCGUGAAGGAUGACUGCCCUAUGGGUUGUAAACUUCUUUUAUAUGGGAAUAAAACAGGGUAUGCAUACCCUCUUGUAUGUACCAUAUGAAUAAGGAUCGGCUAACUCCGUGCCAGCAGCCGCGGUAAUACGGAGGAUCCGAGCGUUAUCCGGAUUUAUUGGGUUUAAAGGGAGCGUAGGUGGAUUGUUAAGUCAGUUGUGAAAGUUUGCGGCUCAACCGUAAAAUUGCAGUUGAAACUGGCAGUCUUGAGUACAGUAGAGGUGGGCGGAAUUCGUGGUGUAGCGGUGAAAUGCUUAGAUAUCACGAAGAACUCCGAUUGCGAAGGCAGCUCACUGGACUGCAACUGACACUGAGGCUCGAAAGUGUGGGUAUCAAACAGGAUUAGAUACCCUGGUAGUCCACACAGUAAACGAUGAAUACUCGCUGUUUGCGAUA
rnacentral:rRNA from 1 species